UUGGAGUUCAUGCAAGUUCUAACCAGC
rnacentral:piRNA from 2 species